CAACAACACACAUUGGCUUUUGAGAUAGUGUUUGGCGUUUUAACUUUAAUAUAUAGUAAUGUAGUAUUUAUACUAGUGUUUAAAGCUUUCAAGGAAAUGUUAAACAUUAGCAUUAGCAUUUAGCAUUAGUCGAACAGAAUCCAAACCAUGGAUGUAAAUGGUAGAGAUAAUACACAACCUCAGUAAAGUACAUAUCAAGCUAACAGAACACAAUUAUAAUGCAAUCAUGACAUAUCCCCAAUGAAUCGUAAGAUCAGAGCUCUUUAUUUUUGAUUUCUGGAACGGGGUAAAAGCUUUGGAACUAUAUUAUUCUCAACUCCUGUACAAGACAUAAUCAUAAUCAUACAACAAACAUGCCUGCUUACAAGACUGUUCAGUCAAUGCGGAUGCAAAGGUAUCUUGUAUGAAUUGAACUGGUUCUCCAUAGGUCCACCAGAACACUUGCACUACAGGAAAGACCAACUGCUUAAAACAUGUUGCUUUCCUCACUGCACCGAGGUUGAAUCUCUUUAAGUUCAAAGGAGUUCAAUCAUCAUACGAGCUCAAACCAGCUACAACAGAUCCUGUUGUUGCAAAAGUUGAUGCUACAUCUGGAUAAUCUUUCCAAGAUGUUGUAACCUUGAGAGAUGGAUACAACCAACUCUUAAUGGAAUCCACAAAGUUGCUUGGAUCAAAGUUCAAAAUGGCUUCCCAAUCCACUUGUACCCCAUUUGGGAUUUUCCCAUCAAACUCCAUAUUAGCAGCAAGAAGUAAUCCAAGCAAAACUAUGAAUCCAACAGCAGCAGAACCUCUAGACAGUGGCAUAAAAUUGUACCAGUAAUAUGUCAUCCUUAAAAUUGCAUCUCUAACAUUUUCAAGUACAUCAAGAUCAGUGGACCCAUAAAUUUCACCGCAAUAAGCAUUGCACACAGCUUCCCAUGCUGUUGCCAUUUCUGCAUCAUACUCAUCCCAUCUAGAAGGCGUGCAUGGUGUUCUAAUAGCAAAGUCAUAUCCAUGUUCACCCAUCUUCACUAGGGUAAUCCUUGUCCCUUCAAGCCGCUUCCCCUCCACUGCAGUACUGUUGCACCAUGUAGCCAACCAGAAGUCCUCACCAACCACUUUGUAAAGAUCAGAACAGGUUUUUGCAUCCAUAAUAUCUUGUAAUUUCUCAUUUUUGGAUAUACCAAUACUUUCAUCAGCUUUGUUGUGCACAUACAUUUUAUCUUUCAUGAUGGUCUUUGCAGCAUUUAACGUUCUUUCAUAAUUUGGGUAGUAACGAACAACUUUUGCUUGUCCGAGAAUCAAUGGUGUGUGAGACCCAAAUCCAGAUUUGAACUCUUCACCUAACUUGUUAACCCACACAACUGGGUCACAGGGUUCAGAAAUUUGUCUCCAUCUGACAGCCAAGGAGUAAACAUCUUGCCAUGACAUCAUAUAACGACCAGAUGUUUUAUCUUCUGCAACUCCAUACAAAGUUGAUGAUUCUGAGGAACUGCUUGUACUACAACCAGCACCACCUCUAUUCUGACUGGGCAUGUUAAUUCUUCUCCGAGCUUUCUUGCCAUAUUUUGACAUGCUUCUAUUAGAAUGUUUCCACUCAGCUUGCAAAGAACGCCAUGCUUUUGAAACCUUUUGUGCAAUUUCAAAAGCAGCUAAUCCUGCCAUACGAUGCUGACGCCUGUUGGGUAAAAAGCCAGGACAAUCAUAUUGAAUCUUCUUGCCAAUUGAAUCAGCAGCAACUAGAAGAGCAGUCUUCUGCUUUGUCAUGGCAAAAUCCUGCUUUCUCAGCUUGCCCCUUUUUAGAGAAUCACGAAGAGGAGGUUGUCGGUAAACUUUUUCACACACAUUCUUGGGGUGCAAUCUUUUGCACCAGUACUCCUGCAAAUUCCAUUAUGAUGCACACAUUAUAAGUAUGCAAGUGAAACAUAUGCCUGAAAAUAAGUUCCUGAAGCAUCAUACUUCCAUAUAAUCUUAAAUAAUAAAAGAUUUAAUAUUUAAACAUGUGAUUAUUUAUGAAAGAAAAGUCUUUAUAAGGUCAUAGCUCAGCUCUUGCAAAAUAUUAAAGAUGUUUAAGAAUUCCCAAGCUGGAGCUUGAAUAGAUAAUUCCCAAUGCAUGAGUGAAAUUAUGUAAAAGUAUUUUUCAAUAUAUUCCUCAUUAAUUAUUACCUUGAAGAGGGCAUCAAUAUCUCCGUCAAUAUCAAACCAACAAAACUCACUGUUGAUUUUAGAAGCUGUAUACAAAACCAGCUCCUUCUGAUAGAAAGCUAAGCAUUGAAGCACAAACUUCUCCAUUGAGUCUAGUUCCAUAUCUAGUGUCGCAUCAUAAUCUUUCACCGCCUCUCCAUAUUCUCCAAUAGCAUGAUAGCAGGAAGCUCUUAAAUACAAGCACUCAAUGUUUGAGUUUUCAAUACUCAAGCCAAUAGAUAAAUCCUUGAUAGCCUUCCUGUGCUCUCCCAUCCCAUGAAGCAGUAGCCCACGCAUAUGAUAAGCUUUUGCAAACCUUAUGUCAACUUGGAGAACUUUUUGAAUGCAUUCCAAAGCUUUUGUUGAGUUUGCCAAAUCUUGGUAGAACUGGGUUAGAUGAGCCCAUCCCUCAAGGAAACUCUGAUCAAGUUGGAUAGAUUUCAAAUGUGCCUCCUCAGCCUUUUUAUACUCACCAAUUGAAGAUAAUGCCAAACCUAAAUAUGUGUAGGCAGACUUGUUAUCCUUAUCAAGCUUCACACAUGCAGAUAAAUCUUCAACGGCAGCAUCAAAAUCCUUAAACUUGAAAUUAACAAUUCCCCUUUCAUGUAAUAUAUCUGCUGAGUUUGGUUCAAAUUCCAAUGCCUUAGUCAAAUCUUGAAUGGCCUGUACAGAUUCCCCUAAGGCAGCUCGGGCCUGCCCUCUUCGCUUCCACGCCUCACCAGCUAAUGGAUUUGCUUCAAUAGCCUUUGAAAAAUCAGCAAUAGCAGAUUCUAGUUCUCUUUGGAAGGCAAAUGCUGUUCCUCUACCUAUUAAUGCCUCCGGAUAAGUGGGAUCUUCCCUUAAUAUCUGGUCAAAGACAGAUAUGGCAGAAGCAUAUUUCCCUUCAUUAACCUGUGCUAUACCCCUUGACAGUCGAAAAUCUACAGUUAUUGACUUGGCCUUUGAAAUCCUAGUUACACAAAACUUUUUAUUUCUCUUGGCUUCAUCACCUGCUUCAUUAGGCAUCUCAGUUUUAUUACUGGAUUUACUGCAAAUUUCACUUGUAUCACCCGAGUUGCUAGAUGUCACAGAUAAUUUACUUGACAGAUCUGAUGUUUUGAUUAAAUUGUUACAAGAUUCAGAAUCACAACUUAGUUUAUCAAGUUUAUGAGAUCCAUUCAUCAAGCUAUCAUCCUUUUCGUACCCUUCAGCUUUUUCACUUAAGUCAUUUUGAAUGCCAAAAUUAUCCCGAGAAUUGCAGCAGAUCUCAGAUGCAUCUCUUGAUUCAGUGCAUAAUUUGGGUUUGUCACCUAAUUUUUUGUGAUUCGUAUAAUUUUCAUCUGAUUUUCCAUUGAUGCAAGGUCCUGUUUCAGCUACAGGCAAAGGUGACUUCCCUCCAGUUUUUUCUCUGCUCCCAUUGAGCCCUUCAGAAUUAUUUCCAAACUUGCUGCUGAUAUCAGAUGCAUCCCCAGACUCACAGCAUGAACUGGAAAGAUCACUCGAUUUAUUUUGGUUCUUAGAGGUUUCACUUGAUCCGCUUUCAUUAUUAGGUCCAGAUUCAGUUAGAUUCAUAGAUGAACUAGAUUCCGUCACAUGGUUUUCACGACCAUUAUUUUUGUCUUGUUUUGCAAACUUAAUAAGCUCUUCGAGUUCCAGAAAUUGUUUCAGAUCAGCAGACUGACGCAAAGCAUGUUCAUAGCCUUGUUCCCACACCAGAAGAGCAUCAUCUUUCCUUCCCAAAGAUGAAAAUGCACGACCUUUAAUGAUAUAAGCUUGAAGAAGAGUGGGAUCAAGCUGAAGAGCUCUGUCACAGUCCUUAAUCACAUGCUUGUGAAGCUCCAAUUGACUGUAACAAAAUGCUCUAUUGCAGAUGUCUUGAAUAGUGCAGGACUUAGCGAGGAGCGAAUCUAGGACACGAAUAGCUUUGGACCAAUCUCGGGAGCUACAGAGCUUAGCGAGCUCGAUUCGCUCGGAGAUCGAAGAGCCCAUAUACACUCAGUCACGAUAGUGGGUUUUUAUCUUUCUGGUCUAGACGGUUUUAGCGAAGGUUGAGAGAGGGCGGGCAUAGAAAGGGAAACCAAAAAACGGAGUGAUAGAGGUGAGUGAAAGGUAGAAAUGGGGUGGAAGGAGAGGCGGACCAGAUGGGGUGGUGGGGAAAUCGAGCGUG
rnacentral:misc_RNA from 1 species